rnacentral:misc_RNA from 1 species
GAGGCCGCCUCCUACCCGAGAGCGACAAAACCAUCAGCGCGCCGACUUGUCGGCUCCAGACGGAGGAGUAUGAGUUAUACCUACCGACUGCGACAAGUCGCUGUAGUAUCAGUCAUGGAACGGAAUAGAUAUCGGCGCUGCCAGACCACCUUAGGUCGUCCUUGUGUUCUAGACUGGCAGCAUCAGCGACCAGAGGAGCCUCAGGACAUGGCGCCUUUGGAGGCUGUCUUCGAUCUCUAUCCAGUCAGCGUGACCCAGGAGGCGACCACGCAUCUGGUCGUCGAUUCACUUCCCGCAUGCUGUGGCAAGAGUUACCUGCGCGAGAAACCAACAGACCUUUGUGCGGCGAUACUUAGACGUACGAACGCUAGGAGAUCACCGGAUCUGAGGAACCAAGAAUCAUCCUGGACCAUCUGCUUCGAUGGCAACGCGAAGCAGAGAUCUUCGAUUUGAUGAACAUAUUGGUGCAAAAAUGUACUCACAACCCAUGUAUUCGCAUGUCAAGCGAACACGAAUCUUUUUCUGUAAUUAUAAUCUGCAAGCCAGUAAAUAUCAUCUUCAUGGACCAUCUAUUCCAGCCCGAUACCUAGAGUGUCUUUUGCCCCCCGCCAUGAGGACCAUUGAUUCGCCCACAUGUUGCUCUUCGCCACUGCAGACUGCCAACGCCAUCCAUGAUGCCCAGCCACUGUCUCGACUGCGCAUCACGGGAAUAACUACGCCUGAUCUUUUUUCCAGUCGCUGCUCCAGAUGAACGUCCCGCAUCUCCACUCCGUCCCCGAUUCUUAUCCCCAUCCCACCGC